rnacentral:rRNA from 1 species
GCCAGACUCCUACGGGAGGCAGCAGUAGGGAAUCUUUCACAAUGGGCGAAAGCCUGAUGGAGCAACGCCGCGUGCAGGAUGAAGGCCUUCGGGUUGUAAACUGCUUUUAUAAGCGAGAAAUAUGAUGGUAACUUAUGAAUAAGGAUCGGCUAACUACGUGCCAGCAGCCGCGGUCAUACGUAGGAUCCGAGCAUUAUCCGGAGUGACUGGGUGUAAAGGGAGCGUAGACGGAUGGAUAAGUCUGAAGUGAAAGCCCGCGGCUCAACUGCGGGACUGCUUUGGAAACUGUGCAUCUUGAGUACGGGAGGGGCAGGCGGAAUUCCUGGUGUAGCGGUGAAAUGCGUAGAUAUCAGGAGGAACACCGGCGGCGAAGGCGGCCUGCUGGACCGAAACUGACGUUGAGGCUCGAAAGCGUGGGGAGCAAACAGGAUUAGAUACCCGUGUA